rnacentral:lncRNA from 1 species
ACCACCGCGCCCAGCUAAUUUUUUGUAUUUUUUUUUAGUAGAGACGGGGUUUCACCCUGUUAGCCAGGAUGGUCUGUAUCUCCUGACUUCGUGAUCUGCCCGCCUCGGCCUCCCAAAGUGCUGGGAUUACAGGCGUGAGCCACUGCACCCGGCCAAAGAAUACAUUUUAAAUUAGAAGAAAUCAUGUAAGUGCUAUUCUUGAAGUUUCUUAUUUUAAUUUGUGAUUUAAUUAAUUCAGUCUCAUAAAUAAACUCAAUGAGGAAGGAAGAAUGUGGAACUGACAAUGUAAGUUGCUUACAUAAAUCGCCUCAUAUGGCUUCAGACUGAGUCUCUAAAUUGAGAAGAUCUUAAUGCGUGACAAUUAGCUACAUGGUAGAGAAGAAACUACUCAAUGAAAAUUUAUUUCUAUUUCUUGAGCCAAAAUUUGAAUGAUUGUCCUUAUUUAUGGUAGCCCAGUAGAAAGAUUCCAAGGGUUUCUUUCCUUUCUUUGUUUUUCUUUUCUUCUACAUUUCUUCCAAAAUUAACUUAAAGUAACUCCUGAGGUUGUAUAUAGGAUAGUAGAAAGCACACUUUCAUAACGUUGUUUGGAAGGUCAAUUAUAUGAUGAAUGCAAAAUGCUGGGAUUUUGCAUUUUGUAAUGACAGUUACAAAACACUGCCAAAAUAAAUCAGAGAUGACACAAAUAAAUGGAAAAACAUUCCAUGCUUCUACAUAGGAAGAAUUAAUAUUGUUAAAAUGCCCAUACUGUACAAAGCAAUUUACAGAUUCAAUGCUAUUUCUACCAAAGUACCAAUGUCAUUUUUCACAGAAUUAGAAAAAACUAAUCUAAUGACCAAACUAACUGAAAGGUCAAAACUAACCGAAUGGCCAUAUCAAUCUCAAGCCAAAAGAAAAGAGUUGGAGGAAUCACACUCUCAGAUUUCAAACUGUACUACAAGGCUACAGUAACCAAAACAGCAUGGUACUGGUACAAAAACAGACUUAUAGACCAAUGGGACAGCUUAGAAAACCCUGACACAAAGCUGCACACCUAUAACCAACUGAUCUGACAAAGUCGACAAUAACAAGCAAUGGGGAAAGGAUUUUCUGUUCAAUACAGACUUCAGGAUAACUGGCUAGCCAUAUGCAGAGGAUUGAAACUGGAUGUCUUUAUUUCACCAUGUACAAAAAUCAACUCAAGAUGGAUUAAAGACUUAAAUGUAAAACUUAAAGAUAAAAAAACUCUAGAAGAAUACCUACGGAAAUACCAUUCUGGACAUAGGCCUUGGCAAAGGUUUCGCAAGGAAGACUCCAAAAGCAAUUGCAACAAAAAUAAAUAUUGGCAAGUGGGACCUAAUUUAACUAAAGGCCUUCUAACAGCAAAAGAAACUAUAAACAGAAUAAACAGACAAUGUAGAGAAUGGGAAAAAA